UACGGGGGGGGCAAGCGUUGUUCGGAAUUACUGGGCGUAAAGGGCUCGUAGGCGGCCAACUAAGUCAGACGUGAAAUCCCUCGGCUUAACCGGGGAACUGCAUCUGAUACUGGAUGGCUUGAGUUCGGGAGAGGGAUGCGGAAUUCCAGGUGUAGCGGUGAAAUGCGUAGAUAUCGGGGAGGAACACCUGUCGGCGAAAGCGGCGCGCUGGACCACAUCUGACGCUGAGGCGCGAAAGCUAGGGGAGCAAACAGG
rnacentral:rRNA from 1 species